rnacentral:rRNA from 1 species
CGGACGGGUGAGUAAUGUCUGGGAAACUGCCUGAUGGAGGGGGAUAACUACUGGAAACGGUAGCUAAUACCGCAUAACGUCGCAAGACCAAAGAGGGGGACCUUAGGGCCUCUUGCCAUCGGAUGUGCCCAGAUGGGAUUAGCUAGUAGGUGGGGUAACGGCUCACCUAGGCGACGAUCCCUAGCUGGUCUGAGAGGAUGACCAGCCACACUGGAACUGAGACACGGCCAG